AAUAAGACAGGGAGCACGUGGCAGAUUGGCAAACCCUCUCCUUUUUUGCUUUGCCUUUUCUGCUUUUUUUUUGAGUGGAGGCUCAUCUUUCCCUUUGCUUUAAGCAACAUUUCCAAUGGGAAGAAAGGCUGGAUGAAAUGACUGCCUCAUCACAGGGACCUCUUAGCAAGUUCCACAGUGCAGCUAAGAGGAAUUCUGCCUGCUCUCCUAAAAGUGAGCACAGUCGACACCUUUACAUAAAGACGGGAGGAGGAGCCACGCGUGAAGGGAGAAGGCAGAGACAGCUGCUGGCUGCCUGAUGGGAGAGUGUAUUUGCAGUGCGUGCCUAGCUUGAGGGAGGAUGUCUGGUGAAGUGCCAGUGCUGCAGCUGCACAGGGAGCUGUGGAGAAGAGGACCUGGUGCUCACACUGUCAUACAGGAAAAUGGGGACAAAUACUGGCAACCAGAUGAACAAGAGCCUCAUGGCAUUCCCUGAAGCAAGAGCUCAUUCUUCCCUUGUGCAUCAGGUUUGUGCUACAAGAAAGCACACAGUCCUCUGUCCCAGAGAGAAGCUCACUUCCACGAGGAGUGUCCAGAUGACAUCUGCCUCUUCCCAGGAUCAAGGGAAGCUGAGGAUCAGGAGAAUGGCAGAGAAGAAGCUGAGAGGGAUGCUCCAAGGAACUCAGUUCUACAAGAAGAUCAUAUGACAGAAGCUAAAAAAGUACUCCCCACCAGAAUGGCACUCAAAGGACUUUGUCUGGGUUCCUCUCUGCCCAGGAAGGGAUCUUAUUUUGUUUCUUCUCCCUCUACAUCAUGCACUGAAACCUGUAAUUCUGAAAGAAAGUCUGUCCAUGUAGAUGUCUGCAGAGAAACAGCUGGUGUCCAGGGAUCCAGAGACCUGGGCUGUGUUACAUGUGAUGCCCUCUCACUUCUGCAUCUUGAAGCAAGUCCCCUUGCCUCUGCAGUCUCCUUGCCAAGGUUUUGUGUAUCUGCUGCUCAGGAGUGUCCCAGGGCUCUAGGACAUACACCAUGUUUUCAGAGCACCUAGUGAACAACAGGUUCAUUUUAGCUGAGGUUUCCAAGUACAAAGUAAUUGUCAAACAAAGAAAGUAAUGCCAUUUACCAAACUCAUUUAUACUACGAAGAGCAGAUAAAUAGAUAUUACAAUCAGAAGUUAAUCUUCUGGCUACAGUCUGAUUUUAGUUUGUUAGUUCAGUUUGGUUGGUUUUGUCCAUGGGACCUCUUUCCUCCCAAAAAUGCACAGGUCUUAAUCUUCCUGACUAUUGAGUUCCAUCAGUACUGAUCUACUUUGAGAUGAACGCUGGCCUCAUUAGGCUUUACUUUGCUUCCCAUUUCACAGUUCAUCAGCUAAGAGCAGGCUGAGGUAACACCUGAGAAACAACACGGGCGCUUAGAGCGAAAAAUCGGGACAAGUGAAUCCAGUCCAAGCUCUGCCACUGACAUGAGACAAAUCGCUGCCCCUUUAGGUAAUGGGAGUAAUACUGGUAUAUCUUAUGGCAGAGGUGUGCCUGCUACUUCAGUUUGUAGAAUACUUGGAGAUGGUCAAAGUCCAUCUCAACAAAAGCACAAAGCUCUACUGGUAUGAUGCAUGUCCUAAAGUAAUCCUUUCUGACCUGGCACUGCACGUCUGGCCCCUAUCACGUCUCUGCAAUAAAAUAAGCUGUGUUUU